GACGAACGCUGACAGCGUGCCUAAUACAUGCAAGUCGAGCGGAAGUUGGAGAGCUUACUCUUCAACUUUAGCGGCGGACGGGUGAGUAACACGUGGGCAACCUGCCCUGCAGAUCGGGAUAACUCCGGGAAACCGGUGCUAAUACCGAAUAGUUUUCGCCACCUCCUGGUGGCGUACGGAAAGACGGUUUCGGCUGUCACUGCAGGAUGGGCCCGCGGCGCAUUAGCUAGUUGGUGGGGUAACGGCCCACAAGGCAACGAUGCGUAGCCGACCUGGGAGGGUGAUCGGCCACGCUGGGACUGAGACGCGGCCCAGACUCCUACGGGAGGCAGCAGUAGGGAAUCUUCCGCAAUGGACGAAAGUCUGACGGAGCAACGCCGCGUGAGUGACGAAGGUUUUCGGAUCGUAAAACGCUGUUGGGAGGGAAGGACAAGUACCAACUAACUACUGGUACCUUGACGGUACCUCACCAGAAAGCCACGGCUAACUACGUGCCAGCCGCCGCGGUAACAC
rnacentral:rRNA from 1 species